CUCGUAGUUGGAUUUCUGGCAGGAGGGACCGGUCACGCACUCUGUGUGUGAACUUGGCUCCCUCUGGCCAUCCUUGGGGAGAUCGUGUUUGGCAUUAAGUUGUCGGGCAUGGGAUACCCAUCGUUUACUGUGAAAAAAUUAGAGUGUUUAAAGCAGGCUUAUGCCGUUGAAUAUAUUAGCAUGGAAUAAUAAGAUAGGACUUUGGAACUAUUUUGUUGGUUUGCGUUACAAAGUAAUGAUUAAUAGGGACAGUUGGGGGUAUUCGUAUUUCGUUGUCAGAGGUGAAAUUCUUGGAUUUCCGAAAGACGAACUACUGCGAAAGCAUUUACCAA
rnacentral:rRNA from 1 species